GAGAGAAAAGUGCACAAACCUUAUCUUCUUCGGUUUAGAGUGAGAGACAGUGCAAUGGCCGCAGCCACAGCAAGUCAUUUGCUGAUGCCUCCAAUACGAUGCGCUGAUUCAAAACCAACAAGACGCGGUUUUGGAACCAAAAACAACACCAACAAGGUACCCACGAAAUCAACAACUAAGCAAUCUGGUCCUGUACCUACUCAGGCACCUGGUUUAAGUUCUCAAUUUGAUGGGAAAUCGAAGAAUAAUUCUUUGGACCUUCAGUUUGAGGAACGGUUGGAAGCAGUUAGAAGGUCAGCGCUCGAGAAGAAAAAAGAAGAUGACGAAAAAGACUUUGGAGCAAUUGACUAUGAUGCACCAGUUGAGGCAGAGAAGAAAACGAUUGGACUUGGUACACAGAUUGGGGUAGGUGUAGCUGUCUUGGUCUUCGGUUUGGUUUUUGCUCUUGGAGACUUUCUUCCCUCAGGAAGUGUUAGUCCCACUGAGGAUGGUGCCGUGGUCAAUAAUAAACUGUCGGAAGAAGAGAAAGCUACUCUUCAGACUAGGCUGAAAGAUUAUGAGGCAACGCUAACUAACUCCCCAAAAGAUCCAAUUGCUCUUGAAGGAGCUGCAGUGACAUUGACAGAAUUGGGAGAAUAUACUCGAGCUGUCUCUGUGCUUCAGGACUUGACUAAGGUGAAACCAAGUGACCCUGAUGUUUACCGUUUGCUUGGAGAAGUCAAAUAUGAACUCAAAGAUUAUGACGGGAGUGUAGCUGCAUUUAAGAUUUCAGAUAUGGUGUCUAAAGAGAUCAACUUUGAAGUACUGCGUGGCCUUACAACUUCAUUACUUGCUGCUAAGAAACCAGAUGAGGUUUGUCAUCAUGCUAUUAGGCUGUUCAAUUUCUCCUGGGCUCUCGUGAACGACUGUAUUCUCAGAACUCUAAUAGUAAGGUUGAAGAGACAAAUUCGCAACAGGUGGACCCUGUUCAAGUUGAAUUACUUCUUGGUAAAGCAUAUUCAGAUUGGGGCCAUAUCAGUGAUGCUGUAUCUGUUUACGACCGCCUCAUCUCUAGUCACCCAGAUGACUUCCGUGGUUACUUAGCUAAGGGAAUCAUUUUGAAAGAAAACGGUAAAGUUGGAGAUGCAGAGAGGAUGUUUAUUCAGGCACGGUUCUUUGCACCAGAGAAAGCUAAGGCACUUGUAGAUCGUUACUCAAGACGGUAACUGCUGUUGUUACUGCCUGUUUUUGUGCAUGGUUCGUUUAUAACUUAGUCUUGAUGUAGUUCCAUUUUGACUAUUGGACUAUUUAUAUCGGUCUCCAAAAUUUUCAUAAGUUCAUUUAGUGUGUCUCUAGAUUGUAUGUACAUGUAUAAGGAUUGGCUGAUAAGGAUAAAACUGUUACCCUGAUUUUCCAUAUGUAAUUUAAAAAAUUAAAUAAAUCAAUAGAAUACGAAAUUUAUUUGUUAUUA